CUGGGGUGUUGCUUCCAGUAGAGACCUGGGACCGAAUACAAGAAGAACGAUAGAGGAAGUUAGUGUCACUUCUGGAACAAGGACGGCUGUUUAGCUGUCUCGACGCGAGGGAUAUCCUAAAGCACUCACCAUUUACUGCUGGCUUUCCACCUCCGCUCCGACGGCACGGCCUUCUUAUGUCAUGCCCGGAGGAGGGAAAAAAGCCGUGUUUCCAACGCUUGCUCUACACGACCACGAGAAGGGGCGAGUGACGGCCAAUGAACAGGACAGACAGAAGAAAUUCCACCAAUCGAGAGGGAAAUCGGAGAGCAAGGACAGUCCAGAGAAAGAGAAAUCUGAUCCUCCAAAAGCUAAACCAGUUAAAGCACCAUCCAAAGGAGAGGCUGGAUCAAAGUGCACUACAAAGGAGCUGCAGCAGUAACAAUCACUCACAGGACUAGAAUCAGACACACCAUCGCCAUAGAUAGCCAUAGAGUGAACAGUCUACACUUUCACUAAGUGUCGAUACUCAGUACUAGAACUACAAACAUGCAAAAGAAUGCCUGGACCAUUCUUCAAGAAUAUCACAUCCGGUUAAUCAUUUGUGAAUUUGUCAAUAAUUAACGGUCAAUGGAAGAUACUGAAAGAAAUGAUUAGAUUCAUAACAAUUUGUUCUGGUAUACUUCAGGAUUUAGGGUGAUGGGAUAAUACUGAAAAAAUUCAUAGCAUAAUCUUCCUUACAAAUUCUAAAAUAUGGUUUUAAUAACAUGGAUAAUAAAUUGCUGUACUGUUGAUUCAAUUCUCAGAUCUUAUAUUAAGGAAAAAUAUUAGAGUCUUUGCUCACCACAGACACACAGCAUAAACAAGAUGUUAAAGCUAGACACCAUUAAAUAUUACGAUGUCCAGAAAAGAUAAGUGAAUUAAAUUAUGUAAGUUCAUUAUCUGAAUAAAAAUACAGAAUUCAGAAACAAGUGAAACAUUUAAAAUGCUGAGAAAAAAUGGCACAACAACAUAAAUAUACAUAAAACCUAGUCUACUGCUGCUGAUACAAAAUUUCCCCUAUUAGUUAUUAAAAUAUAUGUAUUAAAAUUAUGUGCUUGAUAGUUACAAAUUUAAUUCUGUUCAUGGAAUUCAAAGUACCGAUAUCCACCACAUAUUAUCCGUUGCUAUGAGCACAUCAUUCAUAUGUUGGUCAGUUCAAGGCUUCCAUAAAUUUUGUUUAAUACAUAAAUAUUGUUGAAUGAAAAUAUCAAAAAACUAUAACUCAAAUUUGAAAGAAAUACUUAAAAUUUAAAUGUGACAAAAUUAUGAUACCAAGAAGGAGACCACUACUUUCAAAACAUCCCCCCUCUUUUUUAUUAGAAAAUAGGGAUGAACUAUAACAGUUACUGUACUAUCAAAUGCCUUCAACAAAACAACAAAUAAAUUAAUAUGAAUACAAGAACAUAGUGAUUGUUGUUUUUUAAAAUAAUUAAUUGUAUUCUGUAUACAAAAAUCAUAGCAAUUAUUAUUGUUAUUACUACUACUACUACUACUAACCAUUUUAAGGAUGUAUCAUUACAGAAAUAGAGAAACUGAUUGUUAUGGUGAGAAAAAUCACUCGAAAUAUACACUGUGAUGCAUGAUGCAUUCAGCAUUAAAAAAUUGUCUUGUCUUAUGAGUUGCUACUUGCAGUAGCACCACCUUUGAGAAGUAAAAUUUUCUGUUUCUUUUCCUAUAUUUGUAUGUGAUCUAGGCAUGUUUCUUCCACAAGAUGACAGUGAAAGCAAUUCAUAAUUUUCUUAUCAGACUGUAGUUUUGAAUUUGCUUCAAUAAUUAUGUAUUUCCUUUUUACAUUAUUAGACCUUUUCUUGCCAAACAUACCAGUUUUCCCUACUGUCCACAUUUUUCUCUCUAAAUACAUACAUUUAGUCCGUUACAUUCCAAGAGUCUGUAAACACUGUCUGAUUUUUAAUGCCAUCAGUGUGAAGUGAAGUGAGUAUUGAUGUACUUGUAAAAUGGCUAAUGUUGCUUUCAGAGAAUUUACAAAUGAGCAAGUGCUUAGAAUCACUAUUAUGUUAAUGACUGCAUUAUUGUUGCUAUAACAGCAAUGAUCUUUUCUUAAUAUCAGACAGGCUAUAGAAGUUUGGCCUCAUAAAACAAGUUUCUCAUGGUUUUCACAUGGCGUUAAAAUAUAUCGGUUAUAAAUAGAUAGAUAAGAUGUUAAGAUAUUCCAGCUACACCUAAAAUAUGAGCCAUCUUCCUGUACUGGUUUAUUAGGCUUUCUGCAUAACCAGACAAUGAAGCAACCUAUCCAUGAUACCAAAAAAAAAAAAGGAGAAGAAAUGUUAAAAAUAAUGAAGCCUAUACAUAUUAGUAUGCAUGUGCACACAUAUUCUUAAUACUCACUCACACACACACACACACACACACACACACAAAAACCUUGCAUUUUUUUUCCCUCAGAUCCUGUAAUUUAUUAAUCAUCACAUUUGAAUUGUUUGGUCACCCUAUUCCCAUUGAUGAUUAAGUGAUUGGUUUAGGAUAGAGGGCAAUAAUUUUUAAAUAAAAAUCGGAUUCAGUUAUUUCAAUCAAUCACAUAUAAAUUGAAACUAAAUGUCAGUACUCCCAACAUCAAAAACAUGAAUGACCGUUUUAAAAACUUAUAAAGUCACAAUAACUGCAGUUCUUUGCUCAGAUCUCCAUGCCAUUCUUUAGUUUCCUUAAUAUCUGAAAUAUAAUAAUGGAGUUGUGGCACACGAAAAAAGUGAUUCUAAUUUUGUAAUUGUAUUGCUUCCACAUGAAGUUAAUUCGUUGAAUUACUAUUGGAUUUCAUGUACUUCGUUCUAUGUGUGGAAAGAGGUACAUUUGAAGAUUUCCUUACCAAAAACAUUUUGACUACAGAUAAAACUUUUAAAUAUAUUUCCAAUACAUAUAUAUAUAUAUUUUCCUGCUUCUAUUACAAAGAAUUAAGCAGUUGCUUCCUCAGUAAGAAAUUUAAUAAUAACAAAGUUAAUAUUCCCAUUUGGUAAUAUAUGUUUUGGUCCAAUUUCAUAACAUACCAAGAGUUCAGAACACAAGCCAUGAAUACAGAUCUCAGAUUCAUUUAAUGUAGAGGAAGAAGUUUAGAACUGUUACUUUCCUUAGAUAGUUGAGUGCAGCGUAUUAAAACCGAAUGUUAUAUGCAAUUACCGAAAAACUUUAAUAUGAGAUAAUAUAUCAAGAUUUCUAGUAACAAGCAUGUUGAGCUGCUGUAUAAAUAACAAAUUGUCAUAAAAUAAGAAAGAUUUUUAUUUCAUCAAACAGACUCUUUUACAACACAAAACAGGUAUCACAAAAUCAGGCCAUAAUUUGAAAGUUGCACAAUUGGAGUUUAUAACAUUUUUAUGUGGCAUCAUCAGUUUAUACUUUGGAAUUAAUAUUUUCUUAAUUACAUCUAUUGUUUACUUUGAAAUUAUGUAGUUUCAUAUCAUAAAAUUAGAUAACUUGCUCUGUGUAUGUAAAAAUAUUUAAAUUAUUUGACACAAUUGAAAAUAAAGGUAAUUAAGUAUAAACAAAGAUUUUGCCAUAAUAAGAUUAACAUUUUAGAAAAAUAAUAUAUUUGUCAAUAAAGAGUUUAUGGAUAUAUCCUUCUUGCAGAUUGAUUCUGAAACAUGAAUUAAAAAUGUAGAAAAUACCUUAAUUCUGUCAGUAGUUCAAAUUAACAAUAGUAGAAUUUAUGUUACUGAUUAUGGGGAUCCCUCCACCACCUUCCACAUUGUUCAACACAUGACAGAGGAGGCAAAGCAACAAUGUGCUUGGCAAGCACUUGGAUGGCUGGCCAUUUGUGAACACUAGCCGUUGAGGAAUUUUGGUGCACUUGGUGGCCCUAAGACAGGCUGUUUUGAUAAUGAACAUUUCCUUUUUCACUGUACCUACUGAAAUGGGCAUCAGCCCUAUUUACCCUGUGAGUCUGUUAGUUCAAAACCUGUAUACAAUGACUCACCCUGCUCCAAUCGUGAAAAUGAAUACAAUAUGUAAAUCCAACACAUCAACACAGUACAAAGAUCAAAAGCAGAAUCAACAUGAACAGAUUUUCCAUUCCCAAUAAUGUGGCAAGUUUCUCUGCAAGUAUUCAGCUUUCUCCUACUAUAUAUAUUUUCACUGACACUAUAUAUUUUAUGUCUAUACACGUACAAUAAUCUUGAUCAACCAGCAUUACAAACUUCAGUCAAGGUUGAACUUGGAGUAAAGAGUUUUAACUUCUUAAUACAGAAAAUUUUCAAGUAUAACAAUGGGUAUUAAUUGUGCAAUAAAAUCACAGGUAUGAGAUGAUCACAAAAUAGUUGCUCAGUUUGAAUAGGAUAUUUUGUUGAAUAAUGAAUUGGAAAUGAUGUGAAAGGAAGCAAUCAUGGACUCAGUUGAGGUGCUACCCAGCAUUUGCCACACAGGACUGAGGGUAACCAUGAAAAACUUUGAUCAAGCUAUUUCAUGUCCCAUUCAAGAUCUGAACUGAAUUUGAGCUAAUCUGCUCAGUCUCACAGGUUAAGUUUCUUAUAACUCUCACACACGCACACAAAAAUCUCAGUCUAAUAGACUUUAACUUUUGUGUUAAACAAAAUACACUACAACACAGACUUCUGAAAAUAGUCUGAUUUUACAUCUAUUGAAGUAUGGUAACUAUCUUUGAGUCUGCUGACAGAUCUACUUUCACAGACUCUGAAUGUGCAUAUGAGAUUCAUUGUGCAGUAAACUCGGAAACGUGCAACCGGCCUAAUUAAAUUCUCAGCUUAAGAUCAUUCAUAAAAAGAUAUACCAGCUUGAAGAGAUUAUACUUAAAUGGAGUGGCUCACUGCAAAAGUUAUAACAUUCUUCUCAGUCCUGCAACUGAAUAAAUAUCAGCCACCAUAAGGAUUCAUUCAUUCAUUUUAUUUUUCUUCGAGUAAUCCAUAACAGUGAUCAUCACCUAGGAUAUAGAAGAUGUCCACAUACAGUAAAAUAAGAUACAAUAGUGGCCAUACAACAAGCAGCCUUGUCAGUUGGUAAUAUAGUAAUACAAAGACAUUACACCCUAUUAAGUAAUACAAUAAUACAUUAAUAUGAUACAUUAUACACAUACAAUUGCAAAAUAAUAUACAAAUAUAAAAUAAGUGUAUAAGUCAAUGUAAAAAUGUGACCCAAACAGCAACAUAAAUAGAACUUGAUUUCAUUUAUCAGACCACUCAAAGUAUUCAUUUAUUGAGUAAAAUGAUUCCUGUAAAAAAAAAUUCUUAGUAACCACUUUAAACUUAUUAACAUCAUAUAGCAAUUUCCUUAUAUCCCGCGGGAAAUGAUUGAAAAUCUUUAUACCCAUAAAGUAGGGACCUCUCUUGCAUUUGGACAAGUUAACCGAAGGCAAAUACAAGUUAAUGCUUUGUCUUGUAUUUAUUGUAUAUACCUCCAUGCUAAUUACAAAUUUAGAUGUAUUUUUGCUACCGGCAACAGCAAGGAGUACAUGUAUUGAGAAUAAAAAGGUAAAAUAUUUAAAUGUCUAAAGAGUCCCCGACAAGAUAUUUUGGGGUUUACAUUAAAAAUAACUCUUAUACUUCUCUUCUGCAUUAUAAAAACGUUUUUACUAUUAACAGCAUUUCUCAGAAAGGGAAGACCAUAUGUAAUGACAGAGUGAAAUAUAUGCAAAAUAUACCAUCCUUAAAUUCUCUAUCGUUAAAAACAAUUUGAGAGUUCUAAUAGCAGAACAAGCAGAAUUCAACUUAGUAAUUACUCUGGUUAUAUGUCCUUGCCAGAAUGUCGAAUCAAGUGUCACUCCCAAGAAAUCAAUGCAAUAUGUGCUAUUUAUUUGCUUGUCCAUGAACUUUAAUGUGGAUUGGUCAGAUUGACUCAUUUUUGCUUUAAAGUACACAGAAUGAGUUUUUUUUUAGAUUCAAUAUCAAUGAGGAUGAUCACACAGGAGAAAAAAAUGCACUCUAGCAAAGUUACUGAAUAAUAAUCCACCCAUAUUUUAAAAUGUUCCCCAUAAAAUAAAUCACAUUGUAAUGAUUUUACGGCUGAUAGAUUCAAACACAUUUUUUAAUAAUAUAUAUUAUUUUGUGACAAAAACUGAAUUCUGUCUUGAUUUCUGUAACAUCCAGGAUAUUGAUUUCUAAAGCUUACAAAUAAAUAUAAUUUAUUUCUGUAACAUUCAUUAAUGCUACAUAUCCUAUGCACUUGAAGAAGAGUUGUUAAAUAAACAGAUGAUAGAACACAAACUAUUGUUACAAGUUGCCUGAAAAAUAAAAGCCACACGUGCAGCCACUGUCCUAUAGUGAAUAUCUGUUCACAGAACAAAGUCAACAGACACUUUGUUGAAUUUGUCUAUGGUGUACACUGUUGGAAAUAAAGCUCUUUUUACCCCCCACUCCAAUGUUCAGAGAAGGGAUUCUAAUAUUGUUCAUACAAUGGUUCCAGAAUUUUUGUUCCCAGCACGUGCUUUGGGUGAUGCAAUAUUUUAUUAACAAUGAGUCAGGUUUCAUGCGUUCUUUUGUAUUUGCACUAGAAUUUACUUCCUUUCUGCAUGACCACCUAUAUGGCAGCUGAUAUUUACUAUACCUCAGCACCAAAUAGAAGCCCGUAGCAAUUGCACUGAACCACUCCAUGUAUUGUACAUGUUCAAAUAAAUGCAAAUGUAAAAUGUUCCAUUUGUUUGUUAAUACAGUACUUAAAUAUAAGGUACUAGUUGAAGUUUUAUAUGAUUUUGUGAUAUGAAUACAAUGGAUGUAUUAUAUGAACUGCACUUUCUAGAGCUAACAUCCUGCUUUUCCCUUAUAGCCAGAUAUAUACAUAUAAAUAUAUCACUAUCCAGUUAAAGGAAAUUGUAUCAUACUGUCAAAAACUAGAACAUCUCAAAUGUAAAAUUAAGUCAUGCAUAUUGAAUAUACAAUAGACAACGAACACAUGUCCAACAUAUUGUAAUACUGAAACAGAAACUGUCAGAAAGUUUCAAAGAAUCAUCAGAACUAUGAAGCCAUUCUUCACACUCAUGCUGGAAGAUAGUGUUAAGUGGCUAUAUGGAAUUUGUUCCAUUAAAAGAAGAAAUACUAGGACAACUAAUUACAAUGCCAAUUAUAUGUUGUCUUCUAAAUGUUUAUCAUAUUCAACGCAUGAGUAAAUGUAGGUGUAGUAAGGCUUCAAUCAAAAAUUGAACUCAAAAAGAAAAUAUGCUUUAUAUGUUGUACAGCUUAACGUUUUUAGAACUAAAGUGCAGUUAUACCUAGUGUACAAAAAAGAAUACCUCCGUGUGUAAUGUCAGUCAACAGUAUGCUAGGAAGGUGUGCCAUAAGCAGUAAAAUUUGCAGUGUUAUGCUGUAUUGGCUUCAGGUCUGACAUGAAUUUGUUGAGAUGCAGCCAACAUUUCAGUGAACACUAGUUGCCAUCAUUUGGAACAUGAAUGGUCUGUGAGCAGUAUAUAUAGAUAUCUGGGAGAAUGUCUGGUGGGAGUGGUGACUAGUUAGUGCCCUAUUGUGGACAAUGAAAAGCCAUCUCAGUCAUGGGAGAUGAUUUAUUUCCUGUGAUGUAGCUGAUCCCAUCUGUUGCUGAGUGAGAAUCUAUUAUUUGUCAUUUCCUGGAUAUACAAAUAUUUCAAUGGUCUACCUUAUUGAAUUGGGGAUGGCAGCUAUAAAUAUUGAUGAUGAUUUGUCUUACAAGUGAAACCCAUGAUUGGUUUCAACUGAGUACCUCCACAAUGAUCCAGAUAACUCUAUACAUGGACUCACAAACCAUUCUUGAGACUGUCAUGUUGACCAUGGUCAAUUAUAUGGUCAAUGAAUUACAUGGCUCAAGCCUGAGAGCCAAUAUGAUAUAACUGAAAGCAUAAUGUCAAAAAUGCAAUGUGUUCAUGAUCCUUCCAGGUCUGCUUGAGCUCUCAGAAGUAUUGUAAUUGUGUAAGAUAAAGACUAACAGUAUUUGCAAAAAUGGAAAUGAGAUAAUCUGAGAGCACAGGUUAGCCAUAAGCUAGACAUGAAUAUGAGUUUUUAUUAGAUUACCUAAUAUGAAAAGAGUUUUAGUUAUGCUGCUGUAUCACUACCGCUGUGUAUGUUGUUUGUAACAUUACUAAAAAAGAAACUUUACAUGAUACACGUAUUUAAAAAAAAUUGAUCCAUUUCUGGAACCUUCCAUUGAUGAAUAUAUUAAGUAUAUGUGAGAAAAUUACUGAAGCUUAAAUAUCUGAAAGUGAUUACAGAAUGUCUUGACAUAUGAGUUGAUGCCGUGAGGUACUUUCAAUUGAUUAACAGUUGCCUGAAGAUGACCUCAUAGGGCCGAAACAUUUCCCAAUAGUAAAAUAAAAUGCAAUUUUAAUGACAUUUUAAAAUAAAAUUUAUGUUGCAUUAGAGAUGGAAACAAGUGAACAUGUGAUGUAUCAAUGCAAUAGGAUGCUGAAAUAUAAUAUUAGUAGAAAGUAAAUUUUCACUUAUGGGAAGCUAUAGGAAUAUACUAUUUUAAUCUUCACUGAUACACCUUUUCCACUGUAAAAGUACAGAAUUAUUACACACAUAAUUGCUAAUGAAAAUUAGAGAUGGUAUGAGUUAAUGUUGCUCAAAUUGACCCAGAUUUGCGAAAGGCUACACCUACAUUUUUAUUAAGGUCAUGGAAGUAUUCUGCUAACAACUCAGUCACAGUUUAUGUUCCAUUUACGCUGAAGCUAUUAUACAUAUUCAUUAGAUUAUCAUUGAGAGAGCUCCUGAAUAUGAUUAAUUUAUCUGUAUGAGCUAUGUCAUAAGUAAUCAACACAUGGGAGCUCUAGACAUAAUGAGACAUACUUAAUAUAUGUAGUAUCUGAAAUGAACAUUGGGUAUCCAGGAAAUUGAGUCCUAUGUAUUUAAUGAAUAAUGUAAAUCAGGUGAAAUUUAAGUAUUUCACCGAAAAGUUGGCAUAUACAUUUAUGUUGAUAUGUAAAUUUCUGUCAAUUAAAUGAAUUAGAGAAAGAAAAUAACUGUUUCAUAAAACUUUUCCAAAUUUGCUUCUGAUGCAUCUUCCUAGAAUUUACUGUUUAAAAAUAAAUAAACAAAAGUCUCACAAGUAGGAAUGAAUUAGAAAUAUCUUAUUAUAAAUUUGUGUUUCUUAAAAUAAUUAUGUUCAGAUUUUAAAUGUUAGAGGGAUUUUAUUUUCAACUCUGCAUCUUUAUUGUCACUUACUGAUUUGGAUUAUCACAUCUUGUUAUUAUCCAUUCAAAUUCCCCAUCAGUAGUUAGGCAAGGUAGGCAUGAAUAAGCAUGCCACUGAAGCGCCAUUGAACUCAUUACAGUGACUUACGCAAAGUUUUCAACAACCAGAAUUUCCAAAUAAAUUGUCAAUUGCUAAAAUUAUAAAUACAAAACUGUGUAUUUGGUGUAUUCUUUAUGUAGGCCUAUGUUAAAUAAUUGAUGUCAUUAGGCAUGUAACGCGCACAACUCUUCCAAAUUAAAGUGCAUUUUUAUAUGUGCAAUCAAUCAUAGAGGGGCCUCUGGAUGUACAGCCAGGUCUGUAUACAACUGAAGGUGUUCAUAAUAAAAUUAAAUGGUCUCUGGACCCAUUCAUAUAGAAGGUAGUGCUUUAUAGCCUUAAAUUAUGUGAACUGCUGUACAUAAUUUUAUGAAGAUAUUUUAUAAAAUAAAGGCUUCAGUAAGACAUAA